rnacentral:rRNA from 1 species
GUAAACGGCGGCCGUAACUAUAACGGUCCUAAGGUAGCGAAAUUCCUUGUCGGGUAAGUUCCGACCUGCACGAAUGGCGUAAUGAUGGCCAGGCUGUCUCCACCCGAGACUCAGUGAAAUUGAACUCGCUGUGAAGAUGCAGUGUACCCGCGGCAAGACGGAAAGACCCCGUGAACCUUUACUAUAGCUUGACACUGAACAUUGAGCCUUGAUGUGUAGGAUAGGUGGGAGGCUUUGAAGUGUGGACGCCAGUCUGCAUGGAGCCGACCUUGAAAUACCACCCUUUAAUGUUUGAUGUUCUAACGUGGGCCCCUUACCGGGGUUGCGGACAGUGUCUGGUGGGUAGUUUGACUGGGGCGGUCUCCUCCUAAAGAGUAACGGAGGAGCACGAAGGUUGGCUAAUCCUGGUCGGACAUCAGGAGGUUAGUGCAAUGGCAUAAGCCAGCUUGACUGCGAGCGUGACGGCGCGAGCAGGUGCGAAAGCAGGUCAUAGUGAUCCGGUGGUUCUGAAUGGAAGGGCCAUCGCUCAACGGAUAAAAGGUACUCCGGGGAUAACAGGCUGAUACCGCCCAAGAGUUCAUAUCGACGGCGGUGUUUGGCACCUCGAUGUCGGCUCAUCACAUCCUGGGGCUGAAGUAGGUCCCAAGGGUAUGGCUGUUCGCCAUUUAAAGUGGUACGCGAGCUGGGUUUAGAACGUCGUGAGACAGUUCGGUCCCUAUCUGCCGUGGGCGCUGGAGAACUGAGGGGGGCUGCUCCUAGUACGAGAGGACCGGAGUGGACGCAUCACUGGUGUUCGGGUUGUCAUGCCAAUGGCACUGCCCGGUAGCUAAAUGCGGAAGAGAUAAGUGCUGAAAGCAUCUAAGCACGAAACUUGCCCCGAGAUGAGUUCUCCCUGACUCCUUGAGAGUCCUGAAGGAACGUUGAAGACGACGACGUUGAUAGGCCGGGUGUGUAAGCGCAGCGAUGCGUUGAGCUAACCGGUACUAAUGAACCGUGAGGCUUAACCUU